UACAGAGACUGCAAGCGUUAUUCGGAUUCACUGGGCGUAAAGGGUGCGCAGGUGGCCAAGUGUGUUAGGCGUGAAAGCCCGGGGCUUAACCCCGGAACUGCAUCCGAAACUGUCUGGCUAGAGUCCCGGAGAGGAAGGCAGAAUUCCCGGUGUAGGGGUGAAAUCCGUAGAUAUCGGGAGGAAUACCAGCGGCGAAGGCGGCCUUCUGGACGGUGACUGACGCUGAGACGCGGAAGCGUGGGGAGCAAACAGG
rnacentral:rRNA from 1 species